rnacentral:rRNA from 1 species
UACGUAGGGUCCGAGCGUUGUCCGGAAUUAUUGGGCGUAAAGGGCUCGUAGGCGGUCUGUUGCGUCGGGAGUGAAAACUUACAGCUUAACUGUGAGCGUGCUUCCGAUACGGGCAGACUUGAGGUAUUCAGGGGAGAACGGAAUUCCUGGUGUAGCGGUGAAAUGCGCAGAUAUCAGGAGGAACACCGGUGGCGAAGGCGGUUCUCUGGGAAUAUCCUGACGCUGAGGAGCGAAAGCAUGGGGAGCGAACAGG